UUAUUUUAUUAUUUUUUGCAAGGUGGCCUGUGAUGGAACUGAUAAAUGAUGUCUGAAGAAUUCUGUAAUUUCAACAGAAAAUAAAAGGUUUGCAUGAUCCAAAUUCAACUGUAGCUAUGUUAACAAUUAUCAGUAGAUCUCCAUAUAGCAAGUUCUUAUUACAGUACCUCAUUAUAUGAAAUAUAGCAUGCGUUAUGGUUUUUGUGCAAUGCCGUGAUGUAAGGAUAUCAUCUAAUUAGUUACAUACAUGUGCCAAAGCAAAAUAAAUCACCUUAGUUAAGUAGUCAGCCACCAGGUCACGUUAACGCAAAUUGUACAAAUUGAAAUUAUAAAGUAGGAAUGAACUCCAUUCUUCUCAAACAUAUUCCCUCAGACAGUGUUUUGAUGAUGGUGGUAAGGAGAGCUGUCUAAUAAAGUCUCCAAAUUCUCCCACAGAUGUUCAACUGGGUCGAGUUGUAAUGACUCUGACGAGCAUAGCAUGAUUUACAGUAUCUUUAGACUCCUCAAUUCAUUCAAGAGACAUCUACACUUACGGGGACAAGUGAGCCAGCUAGAUGUCUCCAAAGCGAGCUAUUCUAGUGCCAAAUUGUGACCACGACUGGAUUUGGACCACUGGAAAAGACAUCAUAGGAUUAUAUUGAAAACUUCAGGUGGCUUUUUUUUUUUGUUGGCUGAUGUUAACAGAAGGUCUGGGAUGAUGAGGAAGAUUUGCAAACCUUGUGAAUUAAAAAAAAUGUUCAAUCUUU